rnacentral:lncRNA from 1 species
CUGCGCUUUCCUGCAUUUGAAGGGCAAACUCCAAGUUCCAGAGUACAUCCCCCAUAGAAGGACGGUCAAUGCCCUGAUCAGAAACACACUUCUCAGCUGUUUCAGCGAACUUCUUGAAACACUGCGGAGCAAUCUUUCCCUUCAGGUAGGGAUCAACAAUCUGAUCGAGAAUGCCCUUCUUCUGACAGUGCAAUGCCCACUCUGCCAAGCUAACUUCUUCCUUUGCAAGAGUAGGGUUCAAGGCAGGCCGUGCACAGAGGACCUCAAACAGCACAACACCGAAAGAGUAGACAUCAGAUUUCUCGGUGAGCUGCUGCCUGCGGAAGUAUUCAGGAUCAAGGUAACCAAAACUGCCCUUUACCACUGUGCUCACAUGAGUGUGG